AAGGCUAUACUUUUAAGGAUCAUUUCUAUAGUCUGUGACUAGAGAAAUCGUGUACUAAAGAGUAAGGUCUCACCAACCACGAUGAGGAGCUGCAGCGUUCCCUCCUGAGCGCGAAGCGGUCCUCCGGCUUUGUUUUAUACAAGUGCUGGUGGGCAUUGAUGACCGUUCCCUGCCCCCAUUGUGGGGGCUGUGGAGGGAGGAAACGCAGUCUGAGUGGU